rnacentral:snoRNA from 1 species
CUGUGAUGAUGACCCUUUAGGACACCUUUGUAUUAACCAUGAAAAUACAGAUCAGUCUGAGCAGU